ACGCCCCCGAACUACAACUCCCAUGAUGCUCCUGCGUCUUAUGUCAGCAGUUGCGUGGUUCCCAUGGUGACCAGGAGCUGGGCCCGAGAUCAGAGCGCCCACUGCGGCCCCUGAGCAGCGAUGCCCAGACCCAGUGAUACUCUGUGGGAUAUUGCUAAAGCCGAAGUGGAGAAAAAAGAAAAUCUUGAAGGCGAUGGAGUGGAAGUUUGGGAAAAAUCACUACUCUUUAUGGGAAACAAAAAUGGGGGAAAGACUACUAUUAUACUGAGGUGUCUUGACAGGGAUGAAAUUCCAAAACCAACAUUAGCCUUGGAAUAUACUUUUGGAAGAAGAGCAAAAGGUCAUAACAGACCAAAAGACAUUGCACAUUUUUGGGAACUAGGUGGUGGAACCUCAUUAUUGGACUUGAUUUGUAUACCAAUAACUAAUGACAACAUAAGGACUUUUGCUAUAAUUCUUGUUUUGGACCUUUCCAAACCUAAUGAACUGUGGCCAACCAUGGAGAGUCUCCUACAGAUCACCAGGAACCAUGUGGAUAAAAUUAUAACUAAACUGGGAAAAACAAAUCCUAAAGUAGCUACUGAAAUUAAACAGAGGAUGUGGAACAAUAUGCCGAAGGAUCACCCAGAUCAUGAAUUAAUUGACCCUUUUCCAAUCCCUCUGGUGAUAAUUGGAAGCAAAUAUGAUAUUUUUCAUGAGUUUGACUCUGAGAUGAGGAAAAUAAUGUGCAAGACACUUAGAUUUGUUUCGCAUUAUUAUGGAGCAUCACUAGUGUUUACCAGCAAAUCUGAGGCCCUCCUGCUAAAAGCCCGUGUUCUUAUUAAUCAUUUGGCAUUUGGCUUUGACAGAAGCAAAUCCAUAUCAGUGGAUCAGAAUAAACCAUUGUUUAUCCCAGCAGGAUUGGAUUCUCUAAAUCAAAUAGGACCACCACCUGCCUCUGACAGUGAUAUUGGAAAACUGCAUGCACAUACACCUGUGGAUUUGUGGAAAAAAAUAUAUGAAAAAACAUUUCCACCUAAGAGUAUUAGGGACUUAAAAGAUGUCAAUGAUCCUGCCCAGGAUCCACAGUAUGCUGAGUAUGAAGUUGAUGCAAUGCGAACUCAGAAGAAUCAGCAGAGACACCUGUCUCACAGGACUGGCCCCAGCUCCCCUCUGUGGACACUGUGAUCUGGCACCUGCCUACCUUAGUGGUGCACUGACCCCAUUUGCCAAGUCACAAUGCUUAGGAAGCCAGGUCCAGUCCUGCAAGGCAGAAACCGUAGAAGCUGCCAGGACCUAGAACAAUAUAAGAGAAAUGCCUCUAAAUCCUGGAAAGAAAUGGAGUUUGAACCUUGAUUGAGAUAAGUGCUUAACUCUCACACUGAUUUUAAUUUUAUGUUUUGUACAUGUUAUGAUCAAUCAUCAUUUUUGAGUAUUAUACAAAGUAAUUGAAACUGGUGUUUUAUACAGUUGGAAAAAUAUGUAAUACCAAAUAACAAACAUACAAUAAACAAACAGUUAAUAUAA